AGCAGCCGCGGUAAUUCCAGCUCCAAUAGCGUAUAUUAAAGUUGUUGCAGUUAAAAAGCUCGUAGUUGAAUUUCGGGGUUCAUCCGUUGGUCGGGCUUUUUGGUCUGUACUGGCGUGAUGGAUUCCUACCUUCUGAAUAACCGGCAUGCCAUUAAUUUGGUGCGCCGGGGAAGCAGGACUGUUACCUUGAAAAAAUUAGAGUGCUUAAAGCAGGCUUAUGCCUGAAUACAUUAGCAUGGAAUAAUGAAAUAGGACGGCAUGGUUCUAUUUUGUUGGUUUCUAGGAUCACCGUAAUGAUUAAUAGGGAUAGUUGGGGGCAUUAGUAUUCAAUUGUCAGAGGUGAAAUUCUUGGAUUUAUUGAAGACUAACUUCUGCGAAAGCAUUUGCCAAGGAUGUUUUCAUUAAUCAAGAACGAAAGUUAGGGGAUCGAAGACGAAUCAGAUACCGUCGUAGUCUUAACCAUAAACUAUGCCGACUAGGGAUCGGACGAUGUUAAUUUUUUAAUGACUCGUUCUUGGCG
rnacentral:rRNA from 1 species